AUUGAACGCUGGCGGAAUGCUUUACACAUGCAAGUCGAGCGGCAGCGCGGGGCAACCUGGCGGCGAGCGGCGAACGGGUGAGUAAUGCAUCGGAACGUACCCCGUGUGGGGGAUAACUACCCGAAAGGGUAGCUAAUACCGCAUACGACCUGAGGGUGAAAGCGGGGGACCAAAGGCCUCGCGCGAUGGGAGCGGCCGAUGCCGGAUUAGCUAGUUGGUAGGGUAAAGGCCUACCAAGGCGACGAUCUGUAGCUGGUCUGAGAGGAUGGCCAGCCACACUGGAACUGAGACACGGUCCAGACUCCUACGGGAGGCAGCAGUGGGGGAAUAUUGGACAAUGGGGGCAACCCUGAUCCAGCCAUGCCGCGUGUGUGAAGAA
rnacentral:rRNA from 1 species